ensembl:snoRNA SNORA73 Small nucleolar RNA SNORA73 family
CCAACGUGGACAUCCUAUGAGGUUGCUCUCAUGUGGCUCUGUCUUUAUGGUGUUAAGGAGCAUAGUGCCUGUGUGUACAAUGAUGUAUAAUCCUGUUCCAUAACGUUGGACAGCAUACUUGUCCCCAGCAUUUGUGCUGGAGAGGGCAGGGGCCUGUAUAUUCCUACAUCUAUCCAGAGUCCUCUGUCUGGGUGGAUAAACCAUGCAGGUCACAAAU